rnacentral:rRNA from 1 species
GACACGACUCUCGGCAAUGGAUAUCUCGGCUCUUGCAUCGAUGAAGAGCGCAGCGAAAUGCGAUACGUGGUGCGAAUUGCAGAAUCCCGCGAACCAUCGAGUCUUUGAACGCAAGUUGCGCCCGAGGCCACCCGGCCAAGGGCACGUCCGCCUGGGCGUCAAGC